CAAAAGAUUCGUCUUUAUGCCUAGAUUUAUACCCGAACCCUUAUCGAAUUCGAGUGUCCUCGUCUAGGUAGCCAUACAUACUAGUUUUUCUGGGAACCAUGGCUCU
rnacentral:rRNA from 1 species